GUUUCUAUUUGCCUUUUGUCUUUCCAUGUGAAGAAGAAGAAAUCUCGAUAGAAUCUUGAUCGGGAGGUUUCAGUGCAGACGUUAAAGCUGAAGGACCAAGAGUUUUUAGUAGAGGCUAGCCAUGUGCUGUCAGAGAUAGUCACAAAGCAAAGUCGGAGUUUGACCCUGUUGCUUCAUAAUAAAAAUUUACUAGUAGGCUUGAGAAACCUGGUUACUCUUGACUGCCCAUGCUGAGGAAUCUGUUGCUUCCAGGACUGCUGUUGAAAUAAUAUUCCACUGCUCCCAGUUGGAAAACAAAGAUAACUUUUCUAAAAGUGUAAGCUCUUCAAAACUCUCUUGAAAGGUCCCAUUUGAUAUUGUUCCUUGCCAUAUCUUUUCAUUGUUUUAGUCUUGUACUCCGUUGUUACCUCUUCUUAGGAUCCUAAUCUGAGAAUUUCCAGACUAGUUGAGUCUGGGAGUUCUCUUACUAUUUGCUAAACCGAAGUUAUCGAGGACAAGUUUUACACAGAACCUGCAAUCAUAUUGUCUAAUAUUUACUGCACUAGUGAUUUGGCAUACCGUAAGACUUGUUGCAGGAGAAUUUAUUAUUCAUUGAUUGCUAUGACUUUGAUACUACUGGGAACCAUGCACUUAUAAGGUCAAUGCCUACUCUAAUGAAAUUUGUAGUACUUAGGCUUUUUUUAUGCUAAUUUGCUUCUCGUUUAUUACAGUAAACUUCAGAAGACCAUGGCAGACUUGGAGGAACUUCAUAAAGAAAAAAAUGUUGCAAAUUUCACUUUACCAGCUUCUCAUCAUGGCCAUGAAAAGGCUGUGUGUCAUUCUUAAAUAGUUUAAUACUCUUCAUUCUGAUGAGCCCUUUCAGGUUUAUAACUUCUCUGUAUAGGUUCUAAAGAGUCAGCUUUCCAUGGAUCAAUUUUGUGAGAAGCAACAGCACAGCUUUCUUGAUUACAUUAUCACGUGGUUCUUGAGCUUCUAUAAUUGCUGUCAACUUUACAGCUUCAAAUGGAAAUCCCAGAAAUCCAGAUUCCUUGCAUGACAACGAUCCUUCAGGAAGAUACAAUUCCUACUGGCAGAAGAACGACGAAGUGAAACACGUCCUCUCCUUUCUCCAGCAUGUCCCACCGUCUCUGCCUCCCC